rnacentral:pre_miRNA from 1 species
AAAAAAUUCAUUUUUAGAUUUCCGUGUCUAAUUUUAACUGUUUGUCUUAUUUUUUUUAUAAUUAAUGUUUUUAUUGUUAUUAGAUGCUAACACAUAUACUUUAUGCAUGACUAUUUUUUCUUAAUUUAUUCAUAAAACUUUUUAACUAGACGAAUAAUUAAAGUUGGACACGAAAAAUC